GCCGCUCGCCGCUCGGCCGCCGCACAAGCCAUCCCUCGUGACCGAUCGGCUGCGAAGAGAUGGGAGAGUGCACGAAGCGCGUCCACAAGUUGCUGCUGCUUCUUCUUCUCGUGUGCUUCGCCAUUCAGGGCCAAUGCAGAGGCGCAACCCUCGACAAGGAAGGUCUUAAUGGGUGUUUCAAGGGUCACAGCAUUCCCAUAUGCAACCCAGAUAAAGCUAAGUGCUACUGCUGUCUAACCAAUGAUAAUUGCUACAAGACGAUGGAUGAGUGCAAAGCCAUCUGUCCACCGGUGGAGGCGGCGGCAAUCCUCUCGGGGUCCUCCUCCUCCGUACUUCCAUGAAAUGAGAUCAUUGUAAUAAGCUAGAAGACAAAGGAUGAAUAAGAACAUCAAUAACGGUUGAUUUUA